rnacentral:rRNA from 1 species
GACGUAGGGCGCGAGCGUUGUCCGGAUUUAUUGGGCGUAAAGAGCUCGUAGGCGGCUUGUUGCGUCGACUGUGAAAACCCGCGGCUUAACUGCGGGCUUGCAGUUGAUACGGGCAGGCUAGAGUUCGGUAGGGGAGACUGGAAUUCCUGGUGUAGCGGUGAAAUGCGCAGAUGUCAGGAGGAACACCGGUGGCGAAGGCGGGUCUCUGGGCCGUAACUGACGCUGAGGCACGAAAGCGUGGGUAGCAAACAGG